CUUUAAAAAUCUGGAUCAAGCUGAAAAUUGAAACACAGAACAAUGCGAAUUGUUCCGUGGGUCUCUCAAAUUUUCGCAAUUGAUGGUGUUUUACGAAACAUCUUCGG
rnacentral:sRNA from 13 species